CAACCACUUGUCAUUUCCGGUAAGUGUUUUCACAUAAGGGUUUCUUUUGGGACAAUACUAACCAUCAAAAGUGGGCACUACGGCAGAAAGUGGUCAGUGCACAUUAACAGUGUACUGACGGAAGUUUGCGGAAUGAGACACAGCCUGUGUGUUUCUAUUACAACACAACUGAAAGGAAG